AAGUAGGAAUAAGUAGGAAACCAGGCUUUAUUAGUUUAUAAUCAGAACUAAUAAAGCCUGGUUUCCUAUUUAUUCCCACUU
rnacentral:ncRNA from 2 species